CCUACGGGAGGCAGCAGUGGGGAAUAUUGGUCAAUGGGGGGAACCCUGAUCCAGCGACGCCGCGUGAGUGAAGAAGUCUCUCUGUAUGUAAAGCUCUAUCUGCAGGGAAGAAAGAAAUGACGGUACCUGACUAAGAAGCCCCGGCUAACUACGUGCCAGCAGCCGCGGGAAUACGUAGGGGGCAAGCGUUAUCCGGAUUUACGGGGUGUAAAGGGAGCGUAGACGGCGAUGCAAGUCUGAAGUGAAAGGCGGGGGCCCAACCCCCGGACUGCUUUGGAAACUGUAUGGCUGGAGUGCAGGAGAGGUAGGUGGAAUGCGUGGUGUAGCGGUGAAAUGCGUAGAUAUUAGGAGGAACACCAGUGGCGAAGGCAGCUUACUGGACUGUAACUGACGUUGAGGCUCGAAAGCGUGGGGAGCAAACAGGAUUAGAUACCCCUGUAGUC
rnacentral:rRNA from 1 species